rnacentral:lncRNA from 1 species
CCUUUCGAAGAAUUUUGUAACUAGCCAGAAAGGUUUUUGAAGGCGUCUCUCAUAAGAUGGCAUUUGAGCAGAGACCUGAGGAAGUGAAAGAUGGAGGGCUGAAGCUUCCAGGUAGAGGAACAAGCAAAGACCCCGAGCAGGAUCAGGAAAGUGUGGUAGAGACAUAAUCAAAGAUUCAGACAAAGAUAUAACUACAGAAUGCACAUGACGGUUUUGUUAAUACACCAAAAUGAAAAAAAUUAAAUAAUGGACUCGCCCAAUAAACUGUGACCAUCUAUAGUUUGGAAUAACAUGAAGAUUGUUAAAAACUAUGUUUACAAGAAUGGCAAUAACAGAGAAACACUUGCUAUAUAAUUUUCACAAUAACAAGGUGUAGAAAUACUAUAUAUAUAUAUAUAAUAAAAUUCAAAUUUUUAAGAGAAAUUAAAAUGUAUAGAAAACAUUGGAACAGGAUACACUUAAUAAUUUUUUUUCAGCAUGGUAGAAUUGUGGGUGAUUUUUGUUCCCUUUAUAUUUUUUAAUACUUUGUACUUUUUAAUGACAAAUGUAUAUACUACCAUUUAAUGAUAAAAAUAUAUUUUUAAAAUACUGGAUAAGAAUUAUUCAAAUAAAUGCCUUAUUUAAAAGUUAAA